rnacentral:rRNA from 1 species
UGGGGAAUUGUUCACAAUGGGCGCAAGCCUGAUGACGCAACGCCGCGUGGGGGAUGAAGGUCUUCGGAUUGUAAACCCCUGUCGAAUGGGACGAAAGACUCGCGAGUUAAUACUUCGCGGGAGUGACGGUACCGUUAAAGGAAGCCACGGCUAACUCUGUGCCAGCAGCCGCGGUAAUACAGAGGCCACGAACGUUGUUCGGAAUCACUGGGCAUAAAGCGCACGUAGGCGGCUAGGUCCGUCCGAUGUGAAAGCCCCCGGCUCAACCGGGGAAUUGCAUCGGAUACAGCCUGGCUUGAGGACGGUUGGGGUGAGUGGAACUCCUGGUGGAGCGGUGAAAUGCGUAGAUAUCGGGAGGAACAUCAGUGGCGAAGGCGGCCCUCUGGUCCAGUACUGACACUCAAGUGCGAAAGCGUGGGGAGCAAACAGGAUUAGAUACCCAAGUAGUCCCUGAGCGGGCUGGCAAGGCGCAU